rnacentral:lncRNA from 12 species
CUCUUGAAUUUUCUUUUCAAAGAGUUCCAAAAAUAGCAAAGCCCUUUCAGGUUCCUCCUGAUGACCCCUGGGGGGCAUAUGGACACAGCUGUUAUUCACCCCCUUUUAUAGAUGAGGAAGCCAGGGCCUGGAGUUAUAGGGCGAGUGAGAAUCAGGGCGGUAAUAAGGCCAGGCCAUGCCCUCACCUGGUGACGUGAGACCAGCUUGCCGAAGGACUGUGAGCAUCUUUCCCCAUGCAUGUUUUGUGACCUGGACAUACAUUGGCAGCUUGAGACUGACCACGGUGGAAGCGUGGCACCGUGGGAACCAGCAAACUAUGAAUCAGGAUGUUGCACUGCCCUCUCGCCCCCAAACCUAACGCCAGCUUCAUCUCUCACAGAGAUGUCGAGGAUGGAGAGCAGCUCUAUUUUGCAGCCUUUCUGGAUCAUCCUGGCUACAGCCCCAGCAUCCCACUUGAGGCAUCUCUUGAGGCAGGCCAGGUGCCACACAGCGGACUCCUGAGAGGUGGCCUAAGUGCCCACAGCUGCCUUCCUCAGAGGGACCAUCCAUCUGCCCCUGAGCAGCCCUCCAGCUCCUGCCAGCUCCUGUGGCAUCAGCAAGGUCCCAGAAUACAGCAAGGGAGGUCCCUCCAUUCUAGAAUUAUAUACCACUCCAGGACUCCCUCACCACAUCUCUUCCUCCGGGAACCUAGGAGCCCAUGCGUCAGGACCUUCAGCACCUACCUGCCUGUCCCACCUGGCUCAGGACCCUUGGUGACUGUCUAAUGGAUGCUUGGACUGGAGAGAGGACCUACUAGAUCCAUCCAGCAGGAGCCAGCCAGCUUCCCUGCACCGGGACGGUUAUAAAACAAACCUCUUUGCACCAUUCCCUUUUCUCGCCCAUGCCCCAUCUAGCUUCCUCCCUUGAGUAAAUCAGCUUCUCGGUCAUACCAACCGAGCCAGGAAAGGGACACCGUGGGAUCCGGGGGCAGCUGUACGGCUGUAAAGGCAAAGGUGGGCCUGCCUGCCUCACAGAGAAGCACGGUCACAGAGUUCCCACGAAAGCUCUACCCCCGGGGCAUUUGCUGAGGCUUCUGGCAGAAACUUGCUGUCAGUGGAAGGGCUCAGAGGAGCAGAAUAGUAACUUCCAGAACAAUCUUCAGGAGCUGAGCUGAGGAUCCAGAGCCCUGAGUGUGUGUGUAGCCCUGUCUACCGCCGUUGGAGGCCGGAGGAGAGCCUCACCGGUGUCGGGGUGCCCAAAACGUGUCAAAGCUGUGUCCAGAGACUCUGUUUACCUGGAUGCCCUCCUUUCUUCCAUGCGUGGCUCUCGAUGGGAGGCAAUUUUGCUCCCUGGAGACACUUGGCAAUAUCUGUUUGCUUGCACCCCCCUGGGAGGGGGUGAGUUACGGGUGUGAAGACAGAAGAGGCCAGGCGUGUCGCUGAAUACCUGACAAGCCACAGCACAGCCUCGCGGCACCGAAGUAUCCAGCCCAAAUGUCGAGAGUGCCCAGGUCGAGGAGCUCUAGGUGGCAGCGACUUGCCCUCAUACUCAGCAAGGAGUGGCGCUUGCCCAAGAAAGCUCCCUUGGCUCCUCCCGGCUGUGCUAGAAGCCCCGGCCAGGUUCCCAGCCCCGCAGAGGGGCUCUGAGGAAGGACCCUAGCAGCGACUACGGGCAUGCGGGAUUGCCCCAUUUCCGUCCUGCCCCUUCUCUCCCUGGUUGGGUGAGUUCUCGGCUGGUGGGCACAUGCAACUCCAUGCAAAGGAGCCUCCAGUCGGUCCCUUGCAG